rnacentral:rRNA from 1 species
GAGCCCAGAGCCUGAAUCAGUGUGUGUGUUAGUGGAAGCGUCUGGAAAGCCGCGCGAUACAGGGUGACAGCCCCGUACACAAAAAUGCACAUAUUGUGAGCUCGAUGAGUAGGGCGGGACACGUGGUAUCCUGUCUGAAUAUGGGGGGACCAUCCUCCAAGGCUAAAUACUCCUGACUGACCGAUAGUGAACCAGUACCGUGAGGGAAAGGCGAAAAGAACCCCGGCGAGGGGAGUGAAAAAGAACCUGAAACCGUGUACGUACAAGCAGUGGGAGCCUCUUUUAUGGGGUGACUGCGUACCUUUUGUAUAAUGGGUCAGCGACUUAUAUUCUGUAGCAAGGUUAACCGAAUAGGGGAGCCGAAGGGAAACCGAGUCUUAACUGGGCGUUAAGUUGCAGGGUAUAGACCCGAAACCCGGUGAUCUAGCCAUGGGCAGGUUGAAGGUUGGGUAACACUAACUGGAGGACCGAACCGACUAAUGUUGAAAAAUUAGCGGAUGACUUGUGGCUGGGGGUGAAAGGCCAAUCAAACCGGGAGAUAGCUGGUUCUCCCCGAAAGCU